CAUAUAUAUUUAAAUAAUAUACACUUAUAAGGGUAUGGCAAACAGUGUGUACAGUUUAUUCGUGAACAAUAUAGCUGUUCUGUGACAUAAUAUACAGUAUUAUGAUGGACUUUGUAUGGAAUUUCAUGAGCUAUGUUGUACCAUAGAUGUACAGUGUAGCAGUGUGAUUAGAUGUAAAUGUAUGUAGAGGUCGUGUUGCACAGUGUAACAUAAAGUAUCGCAGUGUGGUUAGAAGUUUAAUGUUUCACGUGUCGUUAGUUUACGGAGAAAUAAUUGUAUGUACAGUACUAGUGUAUAGUUUGUAUAAGGUUAAGAUAAGUGAUUAUUUUAUAGCGGAAAUCUUCCUCUGAUACUAUCACUUUAUAGGCCGGUGCAGACAGGGUAACAUUCAAGUUUCAUUUAUAUUAUGUACAGUGAUACUUGUAUAUUUGUUUUUAAAACAAUACACGUCCGAGUAUGUCUGGCGAGACGUCUUGUCGCAUUGGAUCGGAUCUAGGUUUCAAGUUGACCCCUAUAUUAGGUUUAUUUGGAUGUUCCUAGCCGGCGGGUAGUUCCUGAGUUAUUCAUUUAUUCAGUUAUUGUGUUUACAUUCAUGUCAACCAUACAUAAGUUAUUGUUUGUAUAUGAUUCACACUAAUUUAGUCAAGUUGUACCUAAUAGUUCAUGUAUAUAUCCUGGUUUCGUUUUGGGGAAAAUUGUGGUCUUUGUUUUUUCAUAUGUUAUAUAGAUAUGAGAUAUGUAUAUGUAUAGACUUUCACGAGCUAUGUUGUACAGUGUACCAUAGAAAAUUAGUGUGAUUAGAAAUUGAUGUAUGUAGAUAUGAGAUAUGUAUAUGUUUUGACUUUCAUGAGCUUUGUUGCACAGUGUAACAUAAAGAAUCGCACAAUGUGAUUAGAAGUUGAUGUACGUAGAUAUGAUAUAUGUAUAUGUUUUGACUUUCAUGAGCUAUGUUGCACAGUGUAACAUAAAUAAUCACACAAUGUGAUUAGAAGUUGAUGUAUGUAGAUAUGAGAUAUGUAUAUGU
rnacentral:lncRNA from 1 species